ensembl:scaRNA
ACAGUCAAGAUUACACAGGACUUGACUUUGACCUAGAGUAAAUUCUCAGGAAAAAUGGGAUUUUAAUUUUGCAGUAACAGGUGUGAGCAUUCUAGCAGCAGUUUGAUAGUUUGAUGAUCAUGUAUAAUACUGCAAACAAUA